rnacentral:rRNA from 1 species
UCCUGGCUCAGGGUGAACGCUGGCGGCGUGUUUUAGGCAUGCAAGUCGAACGGGAAGUCCCAUGAAGCUUCGGCCGAUUGGGAUCAAACUUCUAGUGGCAAACGGGGUAGUAAUACUUUGGUAACCUAACUCAAAGUGUGGAAUAAGCUCUGGAAACGGAGUCUAAUACCGCAUGUGUCCAUAUUUAUUUUAAUUUGUAUGGGUAAAGCUGUGAUUUAUCAUGGCGCUUUGAGAGGGGCCUAAGGUUUAUCAGCUUGUUGGUGGGGUAACGGCCCACCAAGGCUAUGACGAAUAGGAGGUCUGAGAGGAUGGCCUCCACCAUCGGAACUGAGACACUGUCCGAACUCCUACGGGAGGCUGCAGUCGAGAAUCUUCCGCAAUGGGGGAAACCCUGACGGAGCGACGCCGCGUGUCUGAAGAAGCCCUUCGGGGUGUAAAAGACUUUUCUAAAGGAAGAAAUCCUACACUAUUUUGGUUGGAAUUUUCUAUGUUGCAAUCAGUAUGGUGUAGGUUUGACAUUACUUUAGGAAUAAGCCACGGCUAACCUCGUGCCAGCAGCCGCGGUAAGACGAGGGUGGCAAGCGUUACCCGGAUUUACUGGGCGUAAAGCGUUCGUAGGUGGUUUUGAUAGUUUGUUGUUAAAUCCUAGGGCUUAACUUUAGGGCCGCAGCAAAUACUACAAAACUAGAGAAAAAGAGAGGUAAGCGGAACUCCUGGUGUAGCAAUGAAAUGCGUUGAUAUCAGGGGGAACACCAAAGGCGAAAGCAGCUUACUGGCUUUUUUCUGACACUGAGGAACGAAAGCGUGGGUAGCGAAGGGGAUUAGAUACCCCCGUAGUCCACGCCCUAAACGAUGGAUACUAGACACAGGGAGAGUCGACCCUUUCCGUGUCGAAGCUAACGCGUUAAGUAUCCCGCCUGGGGAGUACGGCCGCAAGGCUAAAACUCAAAAGAGUUGACGGGGACCCGCACAAGCGGUGGAGCAUGUGGUUUAAUUCGACAAUAAACGAAGAACCUUACCAAGGUUAGAAAUCCUACUGCAAGCCUUUAGAAAUAAAGGAAGCCUUCGAGGGUGUAGGACAGGUGCUGCAUGGCUGCCGUCAGCUCGUGCCGUGAGGUGUUCGGUUAAGUCCGGUAACGAGCGCAGCCCUUGUCCUGUGUUAUAUUUCACACAGGAGACUGCCGGCGUAUAGUCGGAGGAAGGUGAGGAUGACGUCAAGUCCGCAUGGCCCUUGAUACCUUGGGCCACACACGUGCUACAAUGGGAAGAACAAAGGGAAGCUAAGCCGUAAGGUGGAGCAAAUCCCAUCAAAUCUUCUCUCAGUUCGGAUAGAGGUCUGCAAUUCGACCUCUUGAAGCUGGAAUCGCUAGUAACCGUGGGUCAGCUAUACCACGGGAAUACGUUCUCGGGU